UACGUAGGGUGCAAGCGUUGUCCGGAAUUAUUGGGCGUAAAGAGCUCGUAGGCGGUUUGUUGCGUCGGCUGUGAAAACCUGAGGCUCAACCUCAGGCCUGCAGUCGAUACGAGCAGACUAGAGUGAUGUAGGGGAGACUGGAAUUCCUGGUGUAGCGGUGAAAUGCGCAGAUAUCAGGAGGAACACCGAUGGCGAAGGCAGGUCUCUGGGCAUUAACUGACGCUGAGGAGCGAAAGCAUGGGGAGCGAACAGG
rnacentral:rRNA from 1 species